rnacentral:rRNA from 1 species
AACGAACGCUGGCGGCAUGCCUAACACAUGCAAGUCGAACGAGACCUUCGGGUCUAGUGGCGCACGGGUGCGUAACGCGUGGGAACCUGCCCUUAGGUUCGGAAUAACUCCCCGAAAGGGGUGCUAAUACCGGAUAAUGUCUUCGGACCAAAGAUUUAUCGCCUUUGGAUGGGCCCGCGUUGGAUUAGCUAGUUGGUAGGGUAAAAGCCUACCAAGGCGACGAUCCAUAGCUGGUCUGAGAGGAUGAUCAGCCACACUGGGACUGAGACACGGCCCAGACUCCUACGGGAGGCAGCAGUGGGGAAGAUUGGACAAUGGGCGAAAGCCUGAUCCAGCAAUGCCGAGUGAGUGAUGAAGGCCUUAGGGUUGUAAAGCUCUUUUACCCGGGAUGAUAAUGACAGUACCGGGAGAAUAAGCUCCGGCUAACUCCGU